CUCGGGGCACGAGGCACGCGGGGCAAACUGCAAACCGCCCGAAACUGAAAAAAAGUCAUGCGACCUUUGAGUGCCUUGCAGAAUAACCACAGGUGCUUAAUUCCACUCAGAGUUUCGAGCCUAGUGUCUCCGUGGGACUUCAACUUUGACUGAGACAGACAGCACCAUUAGCAAGCCGAAGACCAGCCCCAACCCUGACAACCGCUUUCAGCCAACUAUGGCAGGCAGGGGAAUGGAUCUCCUUCUCCUUCACUUAAACCAGAGAGGAACGAAACAAAUGUCCAUCACUCAGGCACUCAGUACCCUGCAGGAGGCCUGGCUGUUUUUGA